GAUGAACGCUGGCGGCGUGCCUAAUACAUGCAAGUCGAGCGAACGGACGAGAAGCUUGCUCCUUUGAUGUUAGCGGCGGACGGGUGAGUAACACGUAGGUAACCUACCUAUAAGACUGGGAUAACUUCGGGAAACCGGAGCUAAUACCGGAUAAUAUUUUGAACCGCAUGGUUCGAUAGUGAAAGAUGGUUUUGCUAUCACUUAUAGAUGGACCUGCGCCGUAUUAGCUAGUUGGUAAGGUAACGGCUUACCAAGGCAACGAUACGUAGCCGACCUGAGAGGGUGAUCGGCCACACUGGAACUGAGACACGGUCCAGACUCCUACGGGAGGCAGCAGUAGGGAAUCUUCCGCAAUGGGCGAAAGCCUGACGGAGCAACGCCGCGUGAGUGAUGAAGGUCUUCGGAUCGUAAAACUCUGUUAUUAGGGAAGAACAAACGUGUAAGUAACUGUGCACGUCUUGACGGUACCUAAUCAGAAAGCCACGGCUAACUACGUG
rnacentral:rRNA from 1 species